AUUGAACGCUGGCGGCAGGCCUAACACAUGCAAGUCGAGCGGUAGAGAGAAGCUUGCUUCUCUUGAGAGCGGCGGACGGGUGAGUAAUGCCUAGGAAUCUGCCUGGUAGUGGGGGAUAACGUUCGGAAACGGACGCUAAUACCGCAUACGUCCUACGGGAGAAAGCAGGGGACCUUCGGGCCUUGCGCUAUCAGAUGAGCCUAGGUCGGAUUAGCUAGUUGGUGAGGUAAUGGCUCGCCAAGGCGACGAUCCGUAACUGGUCUGAGAGGAUGAUCAGUCACACUGGAACUGAGACACGGUCCAGACUCCUACGGGAGGCAGCAGUGGGGAAUAUUGGACAAUGGGCGAAAGCCUGAUCCAGCCAUGCAGCGUGUGUGAAGAAGGUCUUCGGAUUGUAAAGCACUUUAAGUUGGGAGGAAGGGUUGUAGAUUAAUACUCUGCAAUUUUGACGUUACCGACAGAAUAAGCACCGGCUAACUCUGUGCCAGCAGCCGCGGUAA
rnacentral:rRNA from 1 species